GACGAACGCUGGCGGCGCGCCUAACACAUGCAAGUCGAACGGAGCUGAGCGAAGCUUGCUUUUCUUAGCUUAGUGGCGAACGGGUGAGUAACGCGUGAGUACCCUGUCCUGGAGUGGGGGAAAACCGUUGAACACGACUUCUAAUACCGCAUAAGCCCACGAUCCGGCGUGGGAUUGAGGGAAAAGGAUUUAUUCGCUUCAGGAUGGACUCGCGUCCAAUGAGCUAGUUGGUGGGGUAACGGCCCACCAAGGCGACGAUUGGUAGCCGGACUGAGAGGUUGAACGGCCACAUUGGGACUGAGACACGGCCCAGACUCCUACGGGAGGCAGCAGUGGGGGAUAUUGCACAAUGGGGGAAACCCUGAUGCAGCGAAGCCGCGUGGAGGAAGAAGGUUUUCGGAUUGUAAACUCCUGUCGUUAGUGACGAUAAUGACGGUACCUAACAAGAAAGCACCGGCUAACUACGUG
rnacentral:rRNA from 1 species